UACGUAGGGUGCGAGCGUUAAUCGGAAUUACUGGGCGUAAAGCGUGCGCAGGCGGUUCGCCAAGUCAGGUGUGAAAUCCCCGGGCUUAACCUGGGAAUUGCGCUUGAAACUAGCGGGCUUGAGUGUGGCAGAGGGGGGUGGAAUUCCACGUGUAGCAGUGAAAUGCGUAGAGAUGCGGAGGAACACCGAUGGCGAAGGCAGCCCCCUGGGCUGACACUGACGCUCAGGCACGAAAGCGUGGGAGCAAAAGGG
rnacentral:rRNA from 1 species